UGUCUGUGAUCUGUGAGCAGCCUGCCAGAAUUCCCGGAAAGUGCUGCAUCUGGGACUUCAUUGACGCAGGUCUUUCUGACUUCUGUGUGAAGCCAUCGAGUUUGUACACUUCAGACGUCACCUCAAUGAUAUCCAAGGCGUGGAGCAUGCGCUAUGCAUUGAUGCGGGCACAGUUGGGUUUGGAAGAGACGGUAACGCAUCUUACCAGCAGCACAGGGAGCCUUUCUGAUGCAAUCGCGAAGGGGUUGGAGGUGUAUCGCAAGGAGCUUACCCAAACGAUAUUUUUUACAGGCAAGCAGACACUUUUAGAAGAUUAUCGUGGGAAGAUUGUCAAUAUAUCGUAAGAUAGUGUUUUGUUCUCUGUGAAGCGCGUCAAGCGUUUUUCUCAGGCACCACAAGGCACCUACAACAAACUCAGUGUGCUGACAACCAUAUCUGUCUGUCUCAGUAUAUGUCAUUUUUUGUUUCACAUGACGAUCGGUGCAUUAAACCACAAAGGUGUUCGUGAUUCCAACA
rnacentral:lncRNA from 1 species